rnacentral:misc_RNA from 1 species
UAGGACAAAUGGUAGAAGGAUAGAACACAACACUAACAACAAUACAACGUUAAUUGAAUGGAAAUAACUUUGUUUUAGAUGGGUAAAUAUAAUUGCAAAAGUAUAUUUUUCAUGGAGCUAGAAAUUAAUCUAGAAAGGAAGGGACAUAUACCAAUAUUUGAGGUCCAUAACUUGAGAAUAAUCCAUAACAUUGAUCGACAUGAGGAUAUUUUGCAUAGAUCAUAGGCUGACCAUAUCCCUGGUCAAUAUGAGCACGAUAUUCUGGCAAAGAUGUUUGUAGAGAGAUGGCUGUCUGAGGAGACUUUUGUCCAUCACCUGAAGUUUUGCAGUUACCAGGAAAGAUAGUGAAUUGAGUCAUAUUCCCUUUAACUAGCCCUUGCUCGAUACCCAGCCUGGCUUGCUUCAUGGCA